AUGAUUUAUUGCUUUAUGAUUUAAAUGUGUUGAUAUUGCUAUGUUUUAAUUGUUAUGAAUAUGCAUUUACAGAAGAGGUGAUUUUUGAAAUUUAGAAAUUAUGCAUAUUGUUUAUUUUUCAUGUCGUUAUUGUUGAUGUUGGUUUUUUUUAACUGUAAAUAAGGUACAUAUAGGUAAUGUUUUAAUUUCGAGGGCGAAAUGAUUUUUUUUAAACGGGGGGGCAGUGUUGUGAAAGUACAAUUUACACGACGUAACGUCAUAUUUAUUCCCGUACUUUCACUUUCCCAUUGUUGACGUCAACUUCCGCCGAG
rnacentral:lncRNA from 1 species